UUCGGUAGCACAGACACUAAAAAAAAUUGGAAUGUAUAGAGACCGGCAUAGCCCCUGCACAAGGAUGACAUGCAAAUUCACGAAGCAUUCAAUAUUUAG
ensembl:snRNA U6 U6 spliceosomal RNA